AGAUUGAACGCUGGCGGCAUGCCUUACACAUGCAAGUCGAACGGUAACAGGUCCUCGGAUGCUGACGAGUGGCGAACGGGUGAGUAACACAUCGGAACGUGCCCGAUCGUGGGGGGAUAACGCAGCGAAAGCUGUGCUAAUACCGCAUACGAUCUACGGAUGAAAGCGGGGGAUCUUCGGACCUCGCGCGGACGGAGCGGCCGAUGGCAGAUUAGGUAGUUGGUGGGAUAAAAGCUUACCAAGCCGACGAUCUGUAGCUGGUCUGAGAGGACGACCAGCCACACUGGGACUGAGACACGGCCCAGACUCCUACGGGAGGCAGCAGUGGGAAUUUUGGACAAGUGGGGGAAACCCUGAUCCAGCCAUGCCGCGUGCAGGAGUGAAGGCCGUUCGGGUUGUAAACGUGUCUUUUCGUACGGAACGGUAAACGUUCUCUACUAAUACGUAGGGCUAAGUCGUAACGUACCGUAAGAAGUAA
rnacentral:rRNA from 1 species